GACGCCAGCAACAAUGGAACGGAGAACGCGCUCCAGGCCACGAGCGCAUGGAACAGCAACGCGAGCGACUGUGGUCGGUGCAAGGGCAUAGCACUGGACGGAAUUUGAAGAGAUGUCAAGCUAAUGGAAGCGUAUGGCAGCCUUUCCGAUCUCGCAUAAAGGUCGUGUUAGUACCACAGUCCUUCUAUCUAUCGAAGCACCGAAGGACCGUUCUAACACUGAGCUUGGUGAACUUUUUUGCAGCAAGAAGGAUACACCGUUGGGCGAAUGUUCUGUCAGCACAGAAGUACGCAACGUCAACCUGCCAGGAUGAAACAGCGCCUUACGGAGUGCCAGGAUUCAGGGACUCGACGACAGAUGGUGCAGGUGUUACAGUGGCCGAUCCCUUUCGAUCCCGGUGACACACGCACGAGAUGGCCGGAAUAUUGUUCACCCUCAACCCACCCUCGUAAAACUCUGCAAAAAAUACCAGGAUCAGACCACGUUAGUCUUCAAACACCAGCUGCACACUCCACUGAGGUACAGGGACUAACAAAAGGACGUCGCAGCACAAGUACGGGUGACUGUGUACAGGCUUAGAUGCGUCGAGACCAGCCAUGUCUACUAAGCAGCGAGAUCGACCACCAGCACUGCUGAAACCUCCGCCGCUGGAACCCAAGGGAACCCUCGCAGAACAGCCACGCAAGUUACAGAAAAGGAUGCCGCCUAUCUGAUGUAUUACUAGGUUUGAUAAAGUCAGGAAUAAAUUGUGAUGCCUGACA